rnacentral:rRNA from 1 species
CCUACGGGUGGCAGCAGUGGGGAAUAUUGCGCAAUGGGCGAAAGCCUGACGCAGCGACGCCGCGUGAGGGAUGAAGGUCUUCGGAUCGUAAACCUCUGUCAGCAGGGAAGAAAGGUCACUGUGCUAAUCAGCAGUGAAUUGACGGUACCUGCAAAGGAAGCACCGGCUAACUCAGUGCCAGCAGCCGCGGUAAUACGGCGGGGGCGAGCGUUAAUCGGAAUUACUGGGCGUAAGGCGGUCGCAGGCGGGAUGUCAAGUCAAGGGUGAACUCCCGGCGCUCAACGUGGGAACUGCCUUUGAAACUGGCAAGCUGGAGUGUGUGAGAGGAUGGUGGAAUGCCAGGUGUAGGAGUGAAAUCCGUAGAUAUCAGGAGGAACACCAGUGGCGAAGGCGACUAUCUGGCACAUAACUGACGCUGAGGAGCGAAAGCGUGGGUAGCAAACAGGAUUAGAUACCCGAGUAGUC